rnacentral:rRNA from 1 species
GAUUAAGUUAUUAAGGGCGCACGGUGGAUGCCUUGGCACUAGAAGCCGAUGAAGGACGUUACUAACGACGAUAUGCUUUGGGGAGCUGUAAGUAAGCUUUGAUCCAGAGAUUUCCGAAUGGGGAAACCCAGCAUGAGUUAUGUCAUGUUAUCGAUAUGUGAAUACAUAGCAUAUCAGAAGGCACACCCGGAGAACUGAAACAUCUUAGUACCCGGAGGAAGAGAAAGAAAAUUCGAUUCCCUUAGUAGCGGCGAGCGAAACGGGAAGAGCCCAAACCAACAAGCUUGCUUGUUGGGGUUGUAGGACACUCUAUACGGAGUUACAAAGGACGACAUUAGACGAAUCAUCUGGAAAGAUGAAUCAAAGAAGGUAAUAAUCCUGUAGUCGAAAAUGUUGUCUCUCUUGAGUGGAUCCUGAGUACGACGGAGCACGUGAAAUU